rnacentral:rRNA from 1 species
GAUGAACGCUGGCGGCGUGCUUAACACAUGCAAGUCGAACGGAAAGGCUCCUGCUUGCAGGGGUACUCGAGUGGCGAACGGGUGAGUAACACGUGGGUGAUCUGCCCUGCACUUCGGGAUAAGCCUGGGAAACUGGGUCUAAUACCGGAUAGGACCACAUUUUGGAUGGUGUGGUGGAAAGUUUUUCGGUGUGGGAUGAGCUCGCGGCCUAUCAGCUUGUUGGGGGGGUAAUGGCCUACCAAGGCGUCGACGGGUAGCCGGCCUGGGAGGGUGUACGGCCACAUUGGGACUGAGAUACGGCCCAGACUCCUCCGGGAGGCAGCAGUGGGGAAUAUUGCACAAUGGGCGCAAGCCUGAUGCAGCGACGCCGCGUGGGGGAUGACGGCCUUCGGGUUGUAAACUCCUUUCGCUAGGGACGAAGCGCAAGUGACGUUACCUGGAGAAGAAGCACCGGCUAACUACGUG